CAAACCAACACCUCUCUCUCUCCUCAAUGUCCUUCUCCCUCUCCCUCUUUGCUGCUCAUCUCCCCUUUCUUUCUCACCACUGCUCCACCAGCCACGGAACAGCUCUCCUCCGCUACUCCUCCUGGCGUUCGCCGGCAAUCGAAGCACUGAUUCACCUCCUUGUUGGUCACCGUCGCCUGAGGUCCGUCACCCACGAAAGCUCGAUCAGCGGCUCCUCCCUCACAAAGGGUGGUGAGACCGCUAGUUUCUUUCCACCAUGAUAUAUGCUUGAAAAACAAAUCAAGAAGUCCACCACCACCGUCUCUGUUUUCUUUCUCUCAAUCCCCAAUCUCUCUCUGUCUCUACUGUGGAACCAAAAUUAACCCCCAAAACGCUCUUACUCUGUACAAACUCUAUUCACUCAGUUAUAAACCCUAGUAAAACUUGCAUUUCUUCAAUCAAAAAUGCAAGAUAUGUUCGGUUCUGUCCACCGAUCGCUGGUGUUUCGUUCGCCGGACAGCGGUGGUAGCGACGAAAGGCACCACCGUCGGAACCCUAGUCGUUAAACAGGCACAAAAAGAAGAAAGCGAAAACAAACCCUGAGCCAUCAGCUAAGCAAGGAAACAUGGAGGGUUCACGGUUUACAACUUUCCUACAGUCAUUUCUUGUUGUAUUAUUUGUGUUAAUUCCUGCAAAUAAAAUGUUGACAUUGUAUUUGCACCUGGUUGCCAGAGGUGGAGAAGCUUUCUCUAGCAAAUCGAAAAGAGUUGCUACAAAAUCUGCUCGCACGCGACGAUCGACUAUCACAAUCGACUCUCUCUCUCCGGCAACUCUGAGUCUUGCAACCAUAGCAAGGAAAGAGGCCACUCCGCUAUAAUUUUGUUCUUUCUGCAUUGCUUGAUUUUGAACCAAACUUUGAGACAGUGAAGGGAGGUCGUAUGGCCAGUAUUCAGUAUUCUUUAAGAACUGCUUUUCUGGGGUUCCUUAGGUGUACUUACCCUAUCAUUGUGGAGGUGUCCAAGCACCGGAUCGAUGCUAGGAGCGUCAAGUUAAGCUCCCGUUUUGUCAAGUCAACCACCGUGCCUCACCUCGAGGUUCCGAGUCUGUCCAUGCUAAGGCUAUUUUGGGGUGUCUUAGUUUUACCCUUUUGUUUAUGUUCUGUAAUAAAUGUUUAAGUCUUGACUGUAGCGUUAUAGUUAGGGAUUUGGUCCCUGACAUGGAUGUUUGUGUAUAUGUCGUAUGUACAUAUGUUUGGGUUAUCAAUGUGGCAUGUUUAUAAAAAGUCUUUUUACAUUCAGACUGUGACAGCUCAUUGGACAUCUUUUAUUUCCUAU